AGAACGAAUCGUUAAUGUAAUGAACGGUUAUUAGAACACCUGUAAAGCGGAGUGAUACAUGUAUAGUUAAAAGUCCCAGUGGUGUUGUUCUCUACUCCAGUGAAAUAACUUGGUUUUAUUAUAAAGACUGAACAUCAUUUUCACCUCUUUCCGCCCUUUUCAUCGAAAGCAGUGGGAACGUUUUACUUGCGUUUAGUAACGUUCAAGAUGCUUUGACGGUGCGUUAUCUGCUGCGUUUUUAUUACUUUUUCAUUGAAACUGUUAUUGAGCCAUAUCAAUACGUUGCACAGUCGCAGCCCUGAUUUCUGGUUGCUCUGUGGUAUUGACGGAUGCUCUGAGGAAUAUAGAGUGUACAAUUCCUUCCAUCAUGUAAAGAGAAACCACCUUCUACACCUACUUGAUUGCACCCGACCAGAUGAACAGCCAUCAUAGGAAAGCCAAGCACCACCGGAACAAGACAACAUUCAACCCGAUAGUCUUGUAGUUAACUCCAGCAUCACUGAUCAGCAACUCCAUCCAUCUGACUCGGAUGAAGGGCAAAGAAGUGCAACAAAAAGGUGUGAAUUACAUUGUUGCUGGGGUACAGCAGUAUCAAUCAUCACUAUUGGACAACCUCAGGAAGCAGAUGGAGGCAGUGCUAAAGAAGCAUUCAGGAAGCACAUCAGGUCAACUUGAAAAAGAUGCAAUGGAUAUAUUUGACAAUUUCAUUGACCCUUUUGCUGGCGUUGCAACAACAUUUAGACAGGACAGUGUUAUUAAGAAGCUGUUCGUCUUCCCUGUGGCUCAGUUGGUAGAGCAUGGUGUGUGCAACGCCAAGGUUGUGGGUUUGAUUCACUACUGUAAGUCGCUCUGGAUAAGAGCGUCUGCUAAAUGACGUAAAUGUAAAAUGUUUGGAUGCAGAGAAAAUUCCAAUUGCUGGAACCAUAUGCAGGAUGAAAUGUGGAGGAUCAAAAGACAUUUUCAUCAAAGACAAAUUAUUUUAUUAUGUACCAUUAGUCAAAAGUCUAGAGCAGUUCUUAUCACACCCAAGGAUUUUGUCUAUGGUUGAAAAGGGACCCCAGAUGUGCAGGGCAAGUUGUUUUCAUGACAUUGUUGAUGGUGCUCUUCUAAAAUCACAUCCCUUAUUUUCAGAGAAACCAAAUGCAUUGCAGAUUGUUCUGUACACGGAUGAAAUAGAGAUCUGUAACCCACUAGGAUCCUACAUCUACGCCAAUCUGGUGGAGAUGUAAAAAUAAAACAAAUUGGUGUACUACACCCUAGGAAAUAUAAAUCCAAACUACAGGUCUAAACUGGCUGCUAUCAGGCUACUUGCCAGGGCUAGAUCAGCAGACCUCUGCAAAUCUGGUGUAGAUGUAAUAUUGAAUAGAAUCAAGGAAGACAUGGAUGCAGCCAUUGUACAGUGGGGUUAAAAUGCUAACUAUUAACGGCGAGAAAACGAUAUAUGGUGCCAUGGUCUCUCUCUCUGGAGACACCCUGGCACAACAUGAACUAGCAGGGUUCAAAGAGGGUGUGGGCUUUGCCUACAGUAAGUGCAGACACUGAGUGUUCUUUUGAGGACAUGCAGUCACACUUCAAUGAGGAUGCAUAUACUGAAAGGACAUUGGAGAAGCAUGUCAGACAGUGUGAUGAAAUAGAAAAGGCACAGACUGACUUGCUUCGCAACAGCCUGAGAACAACAUAUGGGAUCAAUAGAAGGAGCAAGUUAGUUGAAUUCUCAGCCUUCGAUAUCAUACAACAAACUCCGCAAGACAUUAUCCAUGUAAUUCUGGAGGGCAUAGCCCCAUUGGAAAUCAAAUGUGUUUUGAAUCGUCUUGCUGUGUCAGGACAGAUUGAUCUGGACUCAGUGAAUUCUGCUAUUCUUAGAUUCCCUUAUUCCCCUCUAGAUGUUAGAGAUCGGCCAUCCCCAAUAUCUGUUAGUACAUUAACGUCAAGUUAUGGAAAACUAAAAUAGUAAUCUGGGCAAAUGCUUGUCCUGCUAAGGAUAUUGCCAUUUGUUUUGGAGAGUUUGGAAGUCAAUGCAUAUAUACGACUGACAAUUGAGCUAAUAGAGUUUGUACAGAUAGUAUUUGCACCUGUUCUUUCCAUUGUGACUGUGUCUAGGUUGAAGUUACUCAUUGAUAAUCAUUAGAAAAAGCUUUUUCCAGACUGCAAUGUUACACCUAAACAGCAUUAUAUGAUACAUUUGCCAUCACAGAUAAAGUCAUUGUGUCCAAUGGUUAGACAUACAGUGAGGGGAAAAAAGUAUUUGAUCCCCUGCUGAUUUGUAUG